rnacentral:rRNA from 1 species
UACGAAGGGGGCUAGCGUUGCUCGGAAUCACUGGGCGUAAAGGGUGCGUAGGCGGGUCUUUAAGUCAGGGGUGAAAUCCUGGAGCUCAACUCCAGAAUUGCCUUUGAGACUGAGUGGCUUGAGUACGGGAGAGGUGAGUGGAAUUCCCAGUGUAGAGGUGAAAUUCGUAGAUAUUGGGAAGAACACCGGUGGCGAAGGCGGCUCACUGGCCCGUAACUGACGCUCAUGCACGACAGCGUGGGGAUCAAACAGG